GACGAACGCUGGCGGCGUGCCUAAUACAUGCAAGUCGAACGCAGUGGGGACGGGUGAGUAACACGUGGGUAACCUCCCAUCAGAGGGGAUAACACUUGGCAACAGGUGCUAAACCGAUACUGAUGGAUGGACCCGCGGUGCAUUAGCCAGUUGGUGAGGUAGCGGCUCACCUAGGCGACGAUCUCUAGCGGGUCGGAGAGGAUGAUCAGCCACACUGGGACGGAGACCCGGCCCAGACUCCUACGGGAGGAAGAAGUGGGGAAUAUUGCAAAAUGGGCGAAAGCCGGAUGCAGCCAUGCCGCGUGUAUGAAGAAGGCCUUAGGGUUGUAAAGUACUUUCAGCGGGGAGGCGUUACCCGCAGAAGAAGCACCGGCUAACUCCGUGCCAGCAGCCGCGGUAAUAC
rnacentral:rRNA from 1 species